rnacentral:rRNA from 1 species
UACAGAGGGGCAAGCGUUGUUCGGAAUUACUGGGCGUAAAGGGCGCGUAGGCGGCCUUCUAAGUCGAACGUGAAAUCCCCGGGCUCAACCCGGGAACUGCGUCCGAGACUGGAAGGCUCGAAUCCGGGAGAGGGAUGUGGAAUUCCAGGUGUAGCGGUGAAAUGCGUAGAUAUCUGGAGGAACAUCGGUGGCGAAGGCGGCAUCCUGGACCGGUAUUGACGCUGAGGCGCGAAAGCCAGGGGAGCAAACGGG